UGCUCUAUGAAUAAGCAUUCUUUGUUCUUGCCAGACAGACUCCCCAAUUACAAGCUUCCAGGUCUCCUUUCAAAUGUAUGCCAUAACCUUGCUUUGUUCUAGUAGCCAGUCCAUCACAAACUGCUACGGUACUUUAUUACUUUCACACUUCUUAAUAUUUAAUCAUUUGCUGUAUUUACUUUUAGCAGUUUUUAAAACACCGGUACUUUUAAAAAUACUAAACAUGCGGAAAGCAAAGAAUGGGCUCAUUGAUUGCUAAUUCUUUUGAGAGAAAGUGAUUAUCACUGGAGUUGAGGUCUGGAGGGAAAAAAAGAUGGUUUUUAGGUUUCGGGUUUUUUCCUUCUCCGCAAGAUCUCGGAAACUGAUUCACAUCAGCAGUCAGAAACGAAACGAAACUGGCCCUCGAAGGGAGCGAGCGCUGUUUCUCGGGAAACGGAAAGCUCUCGGUAUUGCCGAUUAGUUUCGUUUCCGGAGUAAGUUUCGAUUUCCCUUCAGCGAGAAACUGAACAGGAUGGAGUCAGUGUUGUGUUGCAGAGCCCGUAGUGUUCGCCCGAACUGCGCAGGGAAAGCAUCGUCUUCUCCGACACUCCCGGCUCCGAGCCUGAAAGAACAUUUUUUGCUGCAUAAACAUUACAAAGUCUACCAUGAAGAAAUCCAGAAUUACAGAGUAUUCUCCGAAUAAAAGGUUAAAAAAGGAGACAGAAAAUCAUUUGUGCAGCCAAUAUGAAGAGAAGGUCCGUCCCUGUAUUGACCUCAUUGAUUCAUUGAGAGCCCUUGGAGUGGAAAAGGACUUGGCAUUGCCAGCAAUUGCUGUGAUUGGAGAUCAGAGCUCUGGAAAAAGUUCAGUUCUAGAGGCCUUGUCUGGAGUUGCCCUUCCUAGAGGCAGUGGGAUUGUUACCAGAUGCCCCUUGGAGCUCAAGAUGAAAAAAAAUAAUAAUAAUAAAGAAUGGAAGGGGAAAAUGGUGUAUCUAGAAACAGAGGUGGAACUGAAAGAUCCAUCAGAGGUGGAAGCUGCAGUUAGGAGAGCCCAGAAUGCAAUAGCUGGCGAAGGACUGGGUAUCAGCAACAAAUUAAUUACCCUGGAAAUUAGUUCUCCAGAUGUUCCAGAUCUCACUUUAAUUGAUCUUCCAGGAAUUACAAGAGUUGCAGUAGGUAAUCAACCACAAGACAUUGGCAAUCAGAUCAUGAAAUUAAUUCAAAGUUAUAUUACCAAACAAGAAACCAUAAAUUUGGUUGUGGUUCCAAGUAAUGUUGAUAUUGCUACUACAGAGGCAUUGAAAAUGGCUCAAACAGUAGAUCCCGAAGGAGAGAGAACACUUGGUAUUCUAACCAAGCCUGAUUUGAUCGAUGAAGGAACUGAGAACGAGACCGUUGAUGUUGUCCGGAAUCAAAGAGUGCCUCUGAAAAAAGGAUACAUGAUUGUUAAAUGUCGUGGGCAGAGCGACCUCAUUAAUAAACUGAGCUUGGAGGAUGCAAUCAAGAAAGAGAGAGAAUUUUUUGAAGAGCACAAGUUUUUCAGUCUUCUUUUGGAAGAAGGCAGAGCUACUAUCCCAUUUCUGGCAGAAAAACUUACAAAAGAGCUUACUGAGCACAUUCAGAGAUCACUGCCAACUUUAGAAAAGCAAAUAGAAACCAGCCUCCAGAAAACGCAUCAAAAACUUGAGAAGUAUGGUGAAGGUGUUCCUGAAUCCUCGGAGGACAAGAAAUAUUUUUUUGUGCAAAAAAUCAAGGCUUUUAAUGAAGACCUCUUAAAAAUUUUACAUGGAGAAGAGGAUGAAAAAUAUUUAAACAAAAGUAGAACAAUUACACAUAUUCGAAAGGCAUUUAAUGAAUGGCAAGAUACAAUUAAUGAUAACACUAAAGUAAAUCUUAAAGGAAGUGGGAAUUCUGAAAAUAUAUCCCGUGGCAGAGAACUUCCAGGGUUUGUCAAUUUCAAAACUUUUGAGAACGCUGUAAGAUGGCAAAUUAAACGAUUAGAGUAUCCAGCAAUUGGAGUGUUGAAAGACGUUACAGAACUUGUGCGGAAUGCAUUUAUUGGACUUGCUAUGCAACACUUCAGUAGUUUCUGUUCUCUCUACAGAGUUGCUCAGAAUAAUAUUGAAGAUUUAAAACUCGCACAAGAAGACAGAGCAAAAAAUAUGAUACACACUCAGUUUAAACUUGAAAAUGUGGUUUACUGCCAGGACAGUGUGUAUAGUGAAGAUUUUAGAACAGUAAGAGCGACAAAAAUCUCUCCAGUUCCUUAUUUAGCUGAUUUUUCAGAAAAGUGCUCAGUGGAGGAAAUGCUUUACCACAUCACCGCCUACUAUAAAAGUGUAAAAGUCCGGCUUGGUACUCAGAUUCCUAUGAUCAUACAGUUAUAUGUGUUCAGGGAUUUUGCUGAGAGGUUACAGAAUGCAAUGAUGCAGCUUUUGCAAAGCGGAGAUCAGUUGGAAGCUCUCUUUCAUGAGGGGAAAGAUGUUGUCAACAUAAGGAAUUCUUUAAAGGAAAGAAUUGGACGACUUCAUAAAGCUCGACGACUUUUGAAAAAAUUCUUUAUUUAAAUAGGGUGGCUAAUAUUUCUGUAUAAAAACUUCUGAUAGCAGCUCUGCUUCUGUUAGAUGAGUGUAUUAAGGGUAUUUGUAACUUAUAUUUAACAUUUGUAAAAUUAUUCAGUGAUGCUGCUCAACUUCAAUAGUGCAUUUAACUCUGUCUUCAGCACACUCCCAUCCCAUUGUGUGUAGUCUAUAUAUUGUAUUGUAACCUAAGCUGAAGAAAGGUUAAAAGAGAGAGAGAGAACUAAAUCAUAAACCUAUUUAGGGUUUCUCAUCCUUUUUCAUUAUAUAGCAAACAAAUAUUGAUAAGCUCCUUCAUGCCAAUGGGAGGUGAUAGAGAGGUGGGGUGGGGAAAAGGUAUUGGUUCCAUCAUUCAACUUUGGAACAGCCUCCCACUUCAAAUUCAAAGGACCCCACCUUUUUAGCCUUCAUGAAGGCCAUGAAAAUCUGGCUCUUCCCCAAGCAUUGGGUUAGGAGGAGGUUGAUUAAGGAGGCUGAUAACUGGUUGAUGUAAAAAGGGUUCAUUUCAUUUUAUUCUACUGUAAUGUGGGCCAUCUAGGAUCACUAUGUAAAGCAGAUGGCCAUAUAAAUAGUUUAAAUAAAUAAACCAUUAACCCAAUCAUUUAAAUUAUUCAUUACGUUAGUUAACCACUGUAUCAUUUCACGUUUAUCAAGUCCUGGAAAAUGGAUUAUUUCAGGAACCACUGUGUUUUACUAUUUUAGGACAGAGUAGUAGAAGGGCAGCAGGUAAUGCUGACCUGAGACUGAAGGGAAGUUAGUGUGUCUCUUACCUGAAAGGGCAUUUACUAUCUCUGUGGUACAAUCUGCCACUGCUCAUUCCUAUGUGAUGACUGGUGAAGCAAAACAUGUUACGCAUCCUGGGAGAAAAUGCUAUUUUAACACUGGUAUAGCUAAGAAUGUUUUAACACUGACUCGCUCAUGGUGUUGGGAUUAGUUGAAGCCAAAAUCAUGAGGGAAAGCACACUGCUGAGGCAUGUAUUUAUCCUGGUAGGACCCCAGAGAAAGGCCAUAAAUUUUCAUUUCUUUAUAGUAGAUACUGUAUAUCCACAAUGUUGUUAUCUGUCACAAUGCAUAGUCUGAUUUCUAAAUGAAAAUAUAGUAUAUUGUUACAUUUUCUUAAUCGUCAGGAUCUAAAUUUUUUAGCAUAUAGCCUGGGAAGUAAAUAUGUAGGCUAAAUAUCAACGAAGACCAAUCCAGGCCAAAAGUAUUUUAAAAAGUUAAAUCAGGGCACUAAACCAAAGUAUAACUGAUUUAAUCUUUUAAAAUGUAGGCUAAGGAGAUCAACAGAGUUCAGGUGAAAUAGAAUACUGCAGCUCUACUUGCUUCUCUGAGGAGUCCUAUUGACUUCAGUGGAUCCUAUCAGUACUCGCAUGUAGGAGUUUAAGUUACAUUUGAUUAGCAGAUCAGCAACAAUAUAAUUCUAGUUCUAUUUGCUAGAUUUUAUUAAGUUUCAUUAUAAAAUCAAAAUAUAGAACAAAAAUUAGGGGGGGGGUGAGGUAUGAAGAGAGAAAAGAAAUGACUUCCGACGUCGUUUCUGUGCAAUACUGUAGAUUGCAAAAAAAAUAAAAAAUCUCAAUGGUUUCAGUGCCCUCUUCAGGUUGCUUGUAUCGCAUAAUGUCACCCUAGCUCUAGUACCACUUUACACCUCUGAUUAUUGCAAGAACUUACUAUAUGGAACAACAUUUAAACUUCACUACUGUCUUCAGAUUGAUGAUGAAAAUUCAUACAGAACAAAACAUUAAGCAGAAUUUCAGUGACAAAAAUUACAGAUUGACAUUACAUCUGAGAAAUGCGCUUAGAAACAUAAUAUGAACAUUCCAGAUCAUUCUUUGUAAUUUGAAUUUAGUUAUUCUAACAAGCAUUCCAGUAAGAUCUGCAACAUACUUCCACCAAAGAUCUUACCUGAAAUUAAACAAUUUCUUGCAUGAAAUGUGUUUAUUCCAGUGAAAAAUAAAACCUGUACAUUCAUCUCAUUUAAGGUUACAUUUAGGAGAACAAAAAUAAAAUAUGUUGAAAUUGUAGAGACUUUGUAAUAUGCUUUGCAAUCCUGAAUAGUGUGCAAAUUAGUAUGUGUAGUGCAUAUUGGUGGCUCUCAACCUGUGGUCUAUGGACCCCUGGGGGGCCGUGAUGUCAUCACAGGGGGUCCAAAGGCUUGAAAAAAAAUUAUUUAAAUCUUGGGGGUCCAUGCCACAAAAAGGGGGUCCAUGGUGAAAAGGUGGAGAACCACUGGUGUAUAUAGUUUAUUAUUAACAUAGUAAAAACACAGCCAGAGGUAGUCAAUUUAUACGACAAUAAAGCAGAAUUAAAUAAUUAAUGGUAUAAUGGGAAUGGCUUUGCUUUAUAUGCAUGUGUAAUUGUCAUGUAACUUUAAUUCUUUUUAAUUCUUAAUUCUUUAAUUUUAAUGUAAUUCUUUUUGUUUCCUGUAGUAAAUUAUAUAAAAAUAGUUCUGCCUGAUUUCUGGUGUGCUCAUUAGGUGUGAAACCCAGAGGUUUCUCUCUCUUCUGCUUCAAUACAGAAAUAAAGUUUUGUCUUUCCUCAGUCUUGUAUGGACAUUGA